AGCAGCCGCGGUAAUUCCAGCUCCAAUAGCGUAUAUUAAAGUUGUUGCAGUUAAAAAGCUCGUAGUUGAAUUUUAGCCCUGGCUUGGGUGGUCCGCCUAAUGGCUGGUACUGCUCCGACUGGGGUUCUCCUUCUGGUGGGCCUGUAUGCACUUAAUUGUGUGUGCAGGUGCGCCAGGACUUUUACUUUGAACAAAU
rnacentral:rRNA from 1 species